CGCGCCGGCGGCCUCCCCAGCCCGAGCCGGGGUCUGGGUCGCGAGCCCCCCACGCCGUGCAUCGGAGCUGGGCCUGCCUCUCCCGACGCCCCUGAGCGGAAAGGAAACUCCUGAUCGGGAAGAAAAGCAACUCGCUCAUCCACGCCUUUGGGCGGCUGGAGGACAUCAUCCCUGGAAUUUGAAGACCGGUGUCACCACAGUCUCCUGAUGUAAUAUUUAAAGCACCCAUGCAGAUAGCAAUCGGCCCACUGUCUGUAUAGUGAAAAAAACCCAUCGAGGUGAGCUGGGAAAGUCAGAGCCAGUGGUUUGGUGGUUUGUUUUUUUUUUUAUCUUUUCUUAAUCAGAAUCAGUUGUUCAGCCUGUUGUCUUUUAUGAUUAAUAGUCCAAACUCUCCCCACCCCCUUUUGAAGGGAGAAGGAAGUAGCCAUUAGGUCAGGUACUGUAUUGUCAGCUGGCUUGGGAACAUGGUAGAGCCUCCUGGAAAGACACUGUUGCAUGGACCCAGCUGGAGAUCCAGAUGGUGAGCCCUGAUGAGUGUAGGCAUCAGUCUGCCUGAGAGGAGCAGGAAGCGAGGGAUGCUGGGGGAGUCCCAGAUUCAGUGCUGGCAGCAAUGGUCAGCUCCCUCUGCCCUUUUCCCUGGCACGACCAUAAUGCCUGGUGGACAUGCACUUUACUCAGGCGACUUAUCUGCUAGGGAAGGCAAAUUGUCUUUAAGGCCAGAUAAAGCGUCAAGACCGCACAUCUUGGACUCAGACUGCCGUGAGUCAUCCUGAAGCCAGAGGACAUGCACUUUGAGAGGACGGACCUUGCGUCCUUCUGGUUGGCACCUUUACUGCCCUAUGGACUCAUGUGGCUGCUUGUGCUACGUCAGAGGCAGCCAGCAAGGACUGAUGUCAACAUCUUAUAACUCAGAGGGCUUCUACUUGUCCCUUGCAGAAGGGAGGAAACAGCCCAGGCAAGUUCACACAAGAGAUAAGAGUGGCGUGGACGGCUGGAUUUGCUGAAGCACUAACUCAUCACCGCCAGCACUGGGGGGAAUUGGGCUGGAGUGGUGGGUCAUGGCCCUCUGGUUUUCAGACGUGGAAGAAAGAUUGGAAGCAAUUUUAAAUUGAGAAUAAAUUCCCAGGCCCUGUCAACAAUGUAGCAUGAGUCAUAAACUAAGUCAUUUCAUCAGUGUUCACCAAAUUUCAGUUGUGUCUGGUGACACUUCUGUUCUCAAUCUGAUGCACUAUUGAUUCAACACUGCUCCUCUCCUAGGGAGCGCUUAGUACCUCAAAGUGAUGUUUUUAAAAUCUAGCCUAAUUGCUAUGACCAUGAGGAAACUCCAAGGCCUCCUCCGGGCCUCAGUUUAUCGUCAGUUUAGGAUGGUCACCGUCAGCAGCAUAAUCUGAGGUCACCUGAGGUCCAACUUGCAGGCAAGAGAGGAGCUUAGAGGGCUGCCCACACGGAUCGCUGGGCCUCAGCCCCCGCUUCUGAUUCAGUCUGGGGCGGGGCCUAAGAACUGGCCCACUCACAAGGUGCCCAGGUCAUAAGGAUGUUGCUGGUUCUUCUGGUUCCAGACCGCCCUUGAAAAGUGAAACUCAACGGUGAGGUGAAGGCCCCAGAGGAGCUAGAUCAGAAUCUUGGGCUCUGUUUACCCAGGGCACGAGCUGCCUUUCUCCUGGCUUUGGUGACCUGUUCCCAGGCUCUUGGCAGGGAGUGCCCAGGCCACAGCCUCUGGUUUUCUCACUGCAGGGUAAGAUUUCUUUUCCGAUUCAUAGGCAGAAGACUUUCAUGCCCUCUCAGAGGGACGGUAGCACUCAAAUAGGAAGAGAUCUAACACUCUGUACCCCUGGCAACUCACUGUCCCUACCACAGCCUUUCCCUUCCCAGGUAUUUGGGCAUCUGCAUUUUUAAGCCUUGUCUCUCUAAUUAUAGAAUGUAAGGCUUUGUCUCCGGUGAAGGGUUCCCAGGCCAAAGAAGGGGACUGGGAACUUUUGAUGGGGGUCAGGAACAAUGGUAAAAAGAAGUUUGUGUGUGAAAGAGGAAGGAAGAGGAAGGAAGAGGAAGGUGCCGGGGGCAGGGCCCACCCCCGCCUCCACCAGGCUGCCAGCAAGGGGAGACCAGGGGCUGUCCCCACUGCACUGGCUCCCAUGGCCUGGCCGCCCCCUCACUCCUUGCCCCUCGGCAUGGUUUAAGCUUCCAGCUCCUUGGCGUUUGCCAAAAGGCAGCCCUACAGCCAGCACAGGGAAGGGUGGAUGCGAAGAGCAGGGGUGGGGAGUGAGAACCGCCACAGUGUGCUUCCUGCUCUGGCUGUGUGCUAUGCCCUCUUGGAGCCUCUGUUGUCGGUCUAUAAAUGGGGAUACUGCCUUCUCCGUGCAUCGCUGUAAGGAUUCGAACUCAUGUUUGCCUGGAGCACGAGGACCCAACAAAAAGGUAAAUUCGGUGUGACGACUGUACCGUCUGACCGAGGAUGCCUAGUGGCCCAUCUCUGGCUGGUGGACUGAGAACUAAACACAGAUGAGACGUGGAACCAAGGCUUUCAUCCACCUCUGGCUGGGUAGGAGGAGUCUACCUGCCUUUCAAGGAAGACUGAUGAGCCAGAUAAGCAGAGAGAUGGCAUCUUUUAACACUGGAAAAAGCAAGUUAUAUCACUCUUCCCCGCCUCACCCAAUACUUUCAAGUUGACUUGUUUCAGAAAGAAGUUGAACAUCUUACUCCAGCCUCUUCUUCCCACUAAGCCUUGGGAAGAUGAAACAGUUCAACACGAGUAAGCUUGAUAAGGGCCAUCAACCAGCACAGUGGUGGCAGCACCCAGCUGGCAGUGGUAUUUCAGUCUUUGGAUACAACUUCUGGGUCUGCCCAAAAGGGCUGUCAUUAGUAGGAGGGGACUAGCUCUCCCGAAUGAGGUAUGUGUGGGUUAGCCUAAAAGGACCCGCGAGGAGGAAGGUUUAUUUUUGUCAGAAGAUAUGCAUUUGUCUAAUCGCCUGGAGGGAAAAGCAUUGCCUUUAUUCCCGCACAGUCAUUGUUACGAAAAUAACACAACUGGUGAGAAGCGGCAAAUGAGGAAAUCAUACGCCAGCCUCCAUGAGUUGUAUAAGCAACUGUCCGCGGUGAAGUCUUAUUAAAGUGAAAUUGUUAGUUCUCGGCUUCUCAAGAAGCAUGGAGUCUUUGACUAGAAGCUCUCAGGUGGAGGCCAUCCUGCACCAGCCCUGCUGUUCGGGAGGGCAUUCCGCUCCAAGAGCAGGAACCCACGAGAAGGCGAAGAAGGGCGCGGAUGAACUCGGGGGAGGAGCCUAACGAUGGCAGGUGCCCACUGCCUGGCGCAUCGUCCUCACCUGCGCAUCCCGGCUCCCGCCUCCCUCCCGCCCCCAAGCUGUGGACUCAGCUGAGAAGUGUCUAAGCCCCUCCUACGUGUCCUCAACAAGCCCACUGAAAUAUGCUAGGGGCGGGGGCGGGGCAGUGACAACGAAAGGAGCGUGAGGCGCGCGAUCUUCACAGACAGAAAGCCCCCCUCAGCGGGAACACCCGGUAGAGACUGACAGAGACAGGCAAAGUGAGUCAGAGGCCUGCGUCAGCGUGAAGAUGGGGACUCACUGGACCAGGGCCACAUGAGGCGGCACAAAUGAGAAAUUCUCCGCCUCCGUCCUCGGCCAAGCCUCCUUUGGACCAAAGGUUUUAUUUUCAGUGAAUGCCAUGUCUUCCCUCUUACGUUAUCUGAUAAGGUCCAGACUUAUUAAACUGCUGCAAGAAACCCUAACUCCUUUCAUACCUUUGGGGGCUUAGAAACACCUCUAGGAAGGAGACGGAGGAGAACCAUCUGCAAAAAGAGCAGCGCAGAGGAGACUCCACGACACCCGGGUGCGAGUGGGAAGGCGCCGCUCUCUGUGAAUGAGGGCUGCCUGGGCAAGGUCGGGAGGCUGGGGCUCAGCUACCUAGUCGUGCUGGCAGAGCAGCAGACGUGACCAUCACUUACCUUGAGCUUCCAAGCUAACGCAACAGCCUGCAUCUCAUUAAAAACAAAGUCAGUUUUGGAGUUCUUCAGACGUCUCUGGUUCCUACAACAUAGAUCACUUUUUAAGAGAAUAUAUUAUCAAGACAUUUAGAAAAUCAUUAAACAAGGACAGUAACUUUCGGAGAUUCAUUUCAGAAACGACUUUCUAUACAUGUCCUGGGGAAAUAAGACAAGCCACCCUGACUGUGGAAGAUUGCUGGUUGCCUACCUAAUACCCAUUCACCCUCUUCUUCUCAGAAAGAGAACUUGCAAGGUUUAGCAGGACACAAAGCUGUCUGAAAAAAGGCAACGUCCCCAGCCUCCUUUUCAGCUGGCUGUGCACAUGACCAAGUUCCAUCCAAUGCAAAGUGAACAGAAAUACUGGAUUGUGUUAUCAAAGUACAGCUGGCACAUGCCUCCGUAAACUCUUCUUCUACCCCUCUUUCUCCUUCUUGUAGAUGGAAAGCAGAUGUGAUGGCUGGAACUUAAGCAGCCUUCACAGACCAUGAAGUGGAAGGCACGUGCUAAACAUGGUAGGGCAAUUAGAUAGGCAGCACCUGGGUUCCUCUUACUGUCACCUGGCCACCUCAAACUGCUUCUCUUGGAACUUUCCUGUGAAAGACAAAAACACUCUUAUUUAAGCUACUGUACUGGGUUGAAUAGUGUCCUCCAAAUUUAUGCCCUUUCCAGAACCCCAGAAUGUGACCUUAUUUGGAAAUAGGGUCUUUGCAGAUGCAAUUAGUCAAGAUGAGGGCAUACUGGAGUAGGGUAACCCUAAAUCCAACAUGACCGGUGUCCUUGUAAGAAAGAUACCGGGACAGAACGCCACGUGAUAGAGAUUGAAGUGAUGUGUCUAAAGGCCAGGAAAUGCCAAGGAUGGCCACAACUACCAGAAGAUAGGAAGAGGCCAGGAAGGAUCCUCCCCGGGGCCUUCAGAGAGAGCUCAGUCCUGUCGACACCUUGAUUUCGGACUUGUAGCUUCCAGAACGGUGAGAGAAUAAAUUUCUGUUGUUUUCAGCCCCCCAGUUUGUGGUCAUUUGCUAUGGCAGCCCCAGGAAACUGGUUCAUCUCCUGUUAUAUGUUUUGUCUUUGUUACACAAGGCCUAGCCUAACCCUCUGUACUAACCCUGCAGAACCACUGCUUUUUCCAUUUGACGCCACUGUUCACUCAGGAAUGGGAAAUUUUGCUGGCAAAUGGCUGAUGAUUUCCACUGAUUUAUAGGAGAUGAAAGUUUUAUUACCAGCUCCACUCUUAACUCUGCCCAGACCCUUCCUCCCUGCACCUCACACUAGAUUCAGCAGUGCUCUCUGUGACCGCGCAAUUGAUAAAAAAACGCAAUACAGUUGGUUCUUUGUAUCCACGGGUUCCACAUCCGCGGAUUAAACCAGCUGCGGAUCAAAAAUAUUUGAAAAAACUUUCCAGAAAGUUCCAAAAAGCAAAACUUGAAUUUGCCCCGUGCUGGCAACUAUACAGCCUUUACCUUAUUAGGUAUUAUAAGCAAUCUGGAGGUGAUUUAAAGUGUACGGGAGCAUGUGGGUAGGUUACAUGCAAAUACUAUGCCAUUUUAUAUAAGGGACUUGAGUAUCCUCAGAUUUUGGUAUGGGGGGGUGUUUCCUGGAACCAAUGCCCCACAGAUACCGAGGGGUGACCCUAGAGGUAAGGGGGGCAGAGCAGGAAAACUGCCUGGUUAAUAAGAUCACUCAGCGCUUACUUUCUAACACCCAGUUUCUCUUUCACUCUUGUUCUGUCAUUCCUCUUCACCGUCUCCCCUCUCCCUACCCGCUGCCCCAUCCACUCUGGGCAAGGAACCUUUGGGCCAUCCCAGAAGCAAGUCACAAAGUGCUACCUGGAAAGUAUAUCUAGACCCCUCUGAAGUAGCUGUGGUAACUAGGCCUUCCACACCCAAAUUCCAGAUAUAUAACUGCAAGGACUCCAAAAAGAAAACAACAGUAAUAAUCAGAAUCUGAGCUGGAUGACUGCCACGUAAGAGGUGCUUUUAGCACAAGCUGCACCAUCCUUGCUCUUGGCUUCUCCUCAUGAUGUAAUGGCAAGUGCUGACCUGAAGGGCACACACAGCCCUUGCCGACAGCCUAAGCCAUCAGCGCUCCCUGCUGCAGCAACAACGACCCACGAGAAUGAGUGUGUCAAGUUUCCCUUUUUCCAGCAUUGGAUGACUCCACUUAUCUCUCAAUCUUCAAGUUCAUUAACGCCUCUGAUGCAUCACUGCCAUACUUCAAGUGUCCCCUUAGGCACAGUAACCCUCUUUUACUGAUGGCAGAGGUUAGAACAGAGACUGCAAAAACUUAAAAAAAAUCAAAAGUUUCCUUUGAGUUCAUUGAUACGUAUUAUCAAUGCCCUUAAAACACCACAAACCUUAACUUACUGAUAAAAAAGAAAAAAGUCAAGAAUAAUUAUCCAAAAGUCACACCAAAAAUGUUCAGAGCUCAAAUAAGUUGUCAUUCAUUCAUUCAGAGAUCAGAGAGCCUACUGAUGCUCUCUGAUGCCGGGCUUGUUGGCAGCGUGGACUCUUUCUGCACAGUCCGGGGGUGCGUACAGACCGGCAGCCACAUGCGCUCCACAGUGUGACGAGUGCUAUGACACAGGGUGACAGAGGGGGUGACGGGAGCAGAGGCCACGCCUAGCGUGGAGCUGUGGGUACAGGUAUUAGCAGGCAUUUAUAACCUAAGGGUUGGAGCCUGAAGGAUCAGCAGAAAUCACCUAGGGGAAAGUGGAAGCCCCACAAGGUGGAAGAACUCUGAGAAGUUCUGUGUGGCCCUGGAGCAGGUGCAGGGGUGUGGGAGGGUGACGGUGCAAGGGGAGGAUGGAGAAGCACGCAGGGCAGGAGAGCGGGGGCUUUGUUGGGCAUGCGAAGGAAAAUCAGGGCAGCUCCAGACUUGAGGACACAGACUCAACUCGGAGUAAAGUCUAGGCCUUAGGCUGAAAUCAGGGAGUUAAAGAAAGUUUGCUGAAUUAAGUGAGGGGAACCCCAGCUCACUUCCCAGAACACUAGCUGGGGAAUGUAGUCUUUAUUUUUUGGACAGUUUUGUGUUCAGCUAAAGCUUAGAGGUCUCUUUCUAAGGAAAGGGGUGUGAGGGGUAUUAGGGUAGGAAACCAGCAAUCUACCACAGUCAGGAUGGCUUGUCCUAUUAUUCUGUUGUUGUUGUUUAUCUUGUCCCAUGUAUAGUCCAAGUGCUUAGACAACUGCCUGUACAUAGCGCUUAAUAAAGAAUCAUUGAGAUAAUAAAACAAAAAAACCUCAUUUAUGUCCUCAAAGAGAUAAAGUUAGGGGAAAAAAGAAAGACCAGGAUGCCAUGCU